rnacentral:rRNA from 1 species
UACGGGGGGGGCAAGCGUUGUUCGGAAUUACUGGGCGUAAAGGGCUCGUAGGCGGCCAACUAAGUCAGACGUGAAAUCCCUCGGCUUAACCGGGGAACUGCAUCUGAUACUGGAUGGCUUGAGUUCGGGAGAGGGAUGCGGAAUUCCAGGUGUAGCGGUGAAAUGCGUAGAUAUCUGGAGGAACACCGGUGGCGAAGGCGGCAUCCUGGACCGACACUGACGCUGAGGCGCGAAAGCUAGGGGAGCAAACGGG